GUGGAUGAAAAGGCUCUCCAGUGGUUCCCCUUAAAGAACAGCUUGGAAGUAAAAGACAUGAAUUCAAAAAGGCUCUUUCUAAGAAGGUGCCUCCAACGAUCUUCCAAACUCUUCCUGUUGGCCUAGGAGAUGAUGACUUGGUUGGGUGAGGGGCCACAGAUGAAUUCAAGAGGCCCUUGAGAGAGCAGAGGAGGAUGGUUCGGAUACAUCAGCAAAGCAAUCUUACUUCUGCAAGUCGUCUGAUCCGAGUUGAGGAUGUACCCUUGUUUGCAUCUGCAGACGUACGAGCCAGGGGUAUUGAUGCAGAAGUGGGCACAGUGAUGCUCCAGGAUGCUGCACAUGUGGACCGCUGAAAAGGAAGAUACAGCUUUCUUCCUAUCCGGGACUGCUGGAGCCCAGUGACCUGCAGGCAUGGGGGCGUUCCCGAGGAACUCUCUCGGCGUGUCCCUCUCCUCCGUAAUGAAGGAAGUCUCAAGUCCAGGCAACCAACCACACAGCAGGUUUCCGCUGGUGCGAGGCCCCCGGUGAUGAGCCUGGCGCCCGUCUUCUCACCAGGACCCUGGCAGAUGAAGCAAGGGGACGGGAGACGUGAGGCAGAGCAAACACCCACUGACAGCAGACAGCACCGGAGUGAAGAAGGUGGCCCCGAGAAGCAGACUGCCUGAACACUCCGCCUCACCACUCGAUAUGACUUUGGAUGAAUUACUUAAUUUCCCUAAACUCCACUUUCUUCACCUGUCAAAUGGGGAAAUUACAAGAACCACUGCAGAGGGUUUUGGAGUGACAGCUCGUUACUAAGGCUUGUGUUGGCCACGUGCUGUAAAAGAAUGGGAAGCAGGAGACUGUAACUUGGUAUAGUGGAAAGUGCACUGGGUGCGAAGCCAGGCUUGUGCUCUGGCUCCCCUCUGCCUAAAUGAGGGAGGGGAGUUCAGGUAAGCUGGGUAGCCCUUUUCGACCUGUUUGUUUACCUGUGGAAUAAAGGCAUGAGUGGUGUCUAGGUGUCCCCCCUUUUCUAGAAACUGCUCUUCCUUCUCACCUCAAAUGCAUGGGGACUGCAGGGACAUGUUGGUAUGAGGCAGCCCCCUCCUGGAUGCCACUGACUGGCACAGGGUGUGACAAUCAGAGUCCUUUCUUGGCAUCUGGGAGCUAGAACUGAGGAAAAGGGGGCUUAAACAGAGGGCUAGUACAUGUGGGGGGCUGACAGGAUGCAUGCAUUCUGCUCAUGGAACAGAGAGGAAGGGGAGGCAGAGGGAGAAGGUAGAGAGAAAGUGGGGCUGUCAUUCAUUACUCUUCUCCUGAUUUCCAUGAGGUAAUAUAAUACAAGCUCCCCCACCCCAAAAGCUGGUUCAAACUGAAUUUCUGUAUUUUCAAGCAGAAGAAUCCCCACCAUUUUUACUAAGAUAAAAUGAAAAUUUUCCAUCUGUAAAAUUUUAUGGAUGCCUGACUGGUGUUUCCAAGAACAUCAGCUGCCCCGUGGGACGGGCCUCUGUGGUGGGAUUGAAGGGGGGGCGAUCAUCCUGCCCGCUCCACUGGCCUCCAGAAGGCCUCAUGGGCUGCAACUGGGUCAAGGCUUUGUGUUCUGAGGAAGGAAUCUCUAAUCAGCAGACUAGGUCAUUGGCGGGAUUGGGCUUUUUUAAACUAGGAAAUAGGAAUGUGCAUAAAUGCUUAUUAACAAAUGCAUAAAUGAUCAAAGGAAUGCUAGGGCUGACUAGGGGUCUGGAGAGGAACACUUACACCUUUGUUGAAGCAGUCUU